CCCCGGCGGGCACGGCCGGGCUGGCCAGCGGCACCUGCGGGCGCUGCCUCCUGCUGCCCGACCGCCGAACCGCUCGCCCGUGCUGCUCCUCCUCUCCCACCGCUCAGCCCGGCGGCAGGGCAUGCGGUAUUGCUUCCUCACCGCACUCCUGUUCUGCUGAGAAAAAACUGCAGCACUGGGUUUGCACUUGUCAUCUCAGAGUCCUGUUAGUCGUACUCCUCGGAGGUCAGUCGACUUAAGCCAGGAAUUCCUGUACUGACGUUUCUGGCGGAUCCAUACUCAUAAAAUCUGCUGUCAGUCACUGGAGGCUGGAAAUCAGCAAUACAGUGGCCAAGAAAAAAUUGCUUCUACUCCAUUUAAGUUCCCCUCUAAUUGUUUGUAAAACAUAUUAUCCCCAGAAAAAGUAUCGUGAUGCAUGAAAGCAUUGGUAGUGAAGUAAAUAGUCAAUACAUUCAGACAUCAAGAGGUUUUGCCCCUUCCUGACACUGGAAAUAGCAUCUCUGCACCUUUAUUUGUCCCUUCCCCUCUUGGUUUUGCAUAUAGAUAGUUGUCAGCUCUUUGGGAAUAUGGAGCAUCUCUCACAUCAUGAGAAGAGUAAUACAAGCAAUGGUGUUGCACGGUGUCCUUCACGUUUUCCCAAACAGACAAACUGGCAGCACUUCACAAACCACAAGCUGAAUCUUGUCAAGCGGUGAGAACUCUAAUCUUGAGCCAGAAAAACAGUUACGCAAAUGCCCAGCUCCAAGCAUAUGGAAGUCUUACUGAUUUGUGGGCUCGAGAUUCCUAUCCUUCCAGCAAAGAGAGCUGCAAAGAACAUGCUUUGCUACAAAAGGACGCAGGAAGAAUCGACACUGGUUAAAUACUCUGAAUGAAAGAUACCAGAAAGUCCAUAGGAUUUUUUAGCUGUCAUUUGAAAGACUCUGAUUAUGCAGCGUGUGCAACUCAGCUCUUCUAGACAGGCCGAACUAUUGCUUAGACUGUACAGCCUGCAAAGUGAAGCCAGAGUGGAUAUAACUGUUGUGUGUCAAUACCUCAACAGGCAGGGCAAAGAACUUCGAGAGAUAAGGGAUGGUUUAAGUAUAGGGGCAAACUAGCUAUAAAUAAGGAGCAGAAAAUGACUAUACCUAUUAGAAACUGAGGACCUGGAAGAAGCUCCCUAUGGGAACCCCAGAGACAAAACCAACAAAGCAGACUUUGUCAGGCGUUGCAUGGUGUGAUGCAUGAAACAGCAGAGGAAUGAAUCUGGUGACUCAGCCCAACUUCCCUCGUAGGAAUGCCUCACUGCAGCAGUUAGGUGAGUAGGCUUAGCAAGCUUGAACUGCACCUUACCAGAACUGCCUCUAGCCGAACCUCUGCUCUUCCAUCCUCCUUGUCCUCUCAUCUACCUUCCCUCUCCUCUGCCUCUCUGCUGACUGUGACAUCGCACUUUUUUUGGCAGCUGCACAGCUGAGAUGUGUGGAUGUGCUGGCUGGGAGGAUACCUCGCCACACUUCUCCUGAGCACCAGGCAGACCAAACAAAUUGUUUAAUUGGCCAAGUGUGUUCUGCAAACCCAGUCUAGAACUUUCCCCAGAUCGUUCAAUCUGCCUUUUUGUUACAGGCUUCAAGAAGUAACACACAGCUGCACAGCCACCACUCUUCUGAAUUCUCUUGCCCUUCUCAGUAUUUAGUAGGCAUUGUGCAAACUGUGACUUAGUUUCUGUGAUAAGACCUUGAGAACACAUUGGGGCUGUCUCCUUUUCUGGAAUUCAGAGGCUGCUUCAGAGGUGUGAAGAGCUGAUAGACAUGUCUGACUCAUUCCUGUUUCUUUCUUCAGGACUUGCCAUGGGACAUUGACAUGAAUCUCAUGUUGGACAUAAGAUGAUUCAGGAAAGCCCAGAGUUUCCCAAAGACCAAAAUGAUUGUACACAGGGCAGGACCUGACUUCUCAGGUUAAUAAAGCUAAUGAAUCUUGGUACAGCCCCCCAGGAGCACUCUAUCAGAUUCCAGUAGUUACAGUUGCUCUUAAGUUCCUUGAUCUAUAUUGUCUGUAAGCACCAUUGUUUUCUUCAACAUCACAAUUACCUCCAGGUAAUUACCUCCAGCCCCUUCCAGGGGCUGAACUUUGGCCAAAUCCCUGUUUUGAAGAUAACAUACUUUCAUAACCUCCUUUGUUUCUUUUUCCUCCUUUUUAUUUAAAUAUAGGAAAUUUUGUAAGAAUCUUCAACUGAAACUC